rnacentral:rRNA from 1 species
GGCGGCAGGCCUAACACAUGCAAGUCGAGCGGAAACGACAACAUUGACCCUUCGGGUGAUUUGUUGGGCGUCGAGCGGCGGACGGGUGAGUAAUGCCUGGGAAAUUGCCCUGAUGUGGGGGAUAACCAUUGGAAACGAUGGCUAAUACCGCAUAAUAGCUUCGGCUCAAAGAGGGGGACCUUCGGGCCUCUCGCGUCAGGAUAUGCCCAGGUGGGAUUAGCUAGUUGGUGAGGUAAGGGCUCACCAAGGCAACGAUCCCUAGCUGGUCUGAGAGGAUGAUCAGCCACACUGGAACUGAGACACGGUCCAGACUCCUACGGGAGGCAGCAGUGGGGAAUAUUGCACAAUGGGCGCAAGCCUGAUGCAGCCAUGCCGCGUGUAUGAAGAAGGCCUUCGGGUUGUAAAGUACUUUCAGCAGUGAGGAAGGUUCAUGCGUUAAUAGCGUAUGGAUUUGACGUUAGCUGCAGAAGAAGCACCGGCUAACUCCGUGCCAGCAGCCGCGGUAAUACGGAGGGUGCGAGCGUUAAUCGGAAUUACUGGGCGUAAAACGCAUGCAGGUGGUUUGUUAAAUCAGAUGUGAAAGCCCGGGGCUCAACCUC